GCCUAGAAUUGGGAUAUGGUGCCAUGUGCCUGCUAUCCCUGCUACCAUGAAGGCUGAGGCAGAUGGAUCUCUUGAGCUCAAGAAUUCUGAGCUGCAGUGAGCUGAGCCAAAUGGGUGUCCACACUAAGUUCAUUACAAAUAUGGUGAGCCCUAGAGGUUAGGGAACCACCAGGCUGCCAAAGGAAGGGCGAGAUGGCCCAGGUAAGAAAGAGCAGGUAAGUACUCCUGUGCUCUGUUCAGUAGUGGGAUUGGUCUUUGAGUGGCUGCUGUGACCCCAGCCUAGGAAAGAUAGAGUGAUUCA
rnacentral:SRP_RNA from 1 species